UACGAAGGGGGCUAGCGUUGUUCGGAAUUACUGGUCGUAAAGCGCACGUAGGCGGCUUUGUAAGUUAGAGGUGAAAGCCCGGGGCUCAACUCCGGAAUUGCCUUUAAGACUGCAUCGCUAGAAUUGUGGAGAGGUGAGUGGAAUUCCGAGUGUAGAGGUGAAAUUCGUAGAUAUUCGGAAGAACACCAGUGGCGAAGGCGACUCACUGGACACAUAUUGACGCUGAGGUGCGAAAGCGUGGGGAGCAAACAGG
rnacentral:rRNA from 1 species